AUACGGAGGAUCCGAGCGUUAUCCGGAUUUAUUGGGUUUAAAGGGUGCGCAGGCGGCCAUUUAAGUCAGCGGUUAAAUCGUGGGGCUCAACCCCAUUCUGCCGUUGAUACUGGGUGGCUUGAUUGCGGUCGAGGUUGGCGGAAUUCGUUGUGUAGCGGUGAAAUGCAUAGAUAUGACGAAGAACACCGAUUGCGUAGGCAGCUGACCAGACCGCAAAUGACGCUCAUGCACGAAAGUGCGGGGAUCGAACAGGAUUAGAUACCCUGGUAGUCCACACAGUAAACGAUGAAUACUUGUUUUCGGCGAUAUAAUGUCGGAGGCAAAGCGAAAGCGAUAAGUAUUCCACCUGGGGAGUACGCCGGCAACGGUGAAACUCAAAUGAAUUGGCGGGG
rnacentral:rRNA from 1 species